rnacentral:rRNA from 2 species
UUAUCGGAGAGUUUGAUCCUGGCUCAGGACGAACGCUGGCGGCGUGCCUAAUACAUGCAAGUCGAGCGGACAGAUGGGAGCUUGCUCCCUGAUGUUAGCGGCGGACGGGUGAGUAACACGUGGGUAACCUGCCUGUAAGACUGGGAUAACUCCGGGAAACCGGGGCUAAUACCGGAUGGUUGU